UAGACGUAACGAUACCGUAGCGCCGCGGAUCUUCGGUUGGCCCCGGAUAGCCGGCCUCGGUCGGUGAGCAGAGCCGUUCGCGACAGGGCUGGGGCGCGGCCGGACGACGGUCGCCCCUCUCCUAUCUCGCACCGCAUGUUUGUGGAGAACCUGGUGCUAAAUCACUUGUAGACGACCUGAUUCUGGGUCAGGGUUUCGUACGUAGCAGAGCAGCUCCCUCGCUGCGAUCU
rnacentral:rRNA from 1 species